rnacentral:rRNA from 1 species
GACGAACGCUGGCGGCGUGCCUAAUACAUGCAAGUAGAACGCUGAAGGAGGAGCUUGCUUCUCUGGAUGAGUUGCGAACGGGUGAGUAACGCGUAGGUAACCUGCCUGGUAGCGGGGGAUAACUAUUGGAAACGAUAGCUAAUACCGCAUAAGAGUAGAUGUCGCAUGACAUUUGCUUAAAAGGUGCAAUUGCAUCACUACCAGAUGGACCUGCGUUGUAUUAGCUAGUUGGUGAGGUAACGGCUCACCAAGGCAACGAUACAUAGCCGACCUGAGAGGGUGAUCGGCCACACUGGGACGGAGACACGGCCCAGACUCCUACGGGAGGCAGCAGUAGGGAAUCUUCGGCAAUGGACGGAAGUCUGACCGAGCAACGCCGCGUGAGUGAAGAAGGGUUUCGGAUCGUAAAGCUCUGUUGUAAGAGAAGAACGAGUGUGAGAGUGGAAAGUUCACACUGUGACGGUAUCUUACCAGAAAGGGACGGCUAACUACGUG